UCUUUCGAAUAAGUACGAAGUAAAGAGCAGCCGAAUGCAGAGACUUCUGUUCCCGUUACUUCACUUAAUGUUUUGAGAGUUAAUGUGUCGCCCCCUAUCGACCGUCGAAUACUAAGUUAGAGGCCUGUUUUUACCGGCAUAUUCAUCUGUAUGGAUGUUAUGAGCAAUGAUUUCAACCACAGUAUUGACAAAAUGAUUGUUGAAAGAACGGCCACAAUUAGCUUGUAGAAGAGAUAAUGAAGAAAAAGAAACAAAAGGGGGGAAUAGUA